rnacentral:rRNA from 1 species
GAUGAACGCUGGCGGCGUGCCUAAUACAUGCAAGUCGAGCGAACAGACGAGGAGCUUGCUCCUCUGACGUUAGCGGCGGACGGGUGAGUAACACGUGGAUAACCUACCUAUCAGACUGGGAUAACUUCGGGAAACCGGAGCUAAUACCGGAUAAUAUAUUGAACCGCAUGGUUCAAUAGUGAAAGACGGUUUUGCUGUCACUUAUAGAUGGAUCCGCGCCGCAUUAGCUAGUUGGUAAGGUAACGGCUUACCAAGGCAACGAUGCGUAGCCGACCUGAGAGGGUGAUCGGCCACACUGGAACGGAGACACGGUCCAGACGCCUGCGGGAGGCAGCAGUAGGGAAUCUUCCGCAAUGGGCGAAAGCUUGACGGAGCAACGCCGCGUGAGUGAUGAAGGUCUUCGGAUCGUAAAACUCUGUUAUUAGGGAAGAACAAAUGUGUAAGUAACUAUGCACGUCUUGACGGUACCUAAUCAGAAAGCCACGGCUAACUACGUG